UACGUAGGGGGCAAGCGUUGUCCGGAUUUAUUGGGCGUAAAGAGCGUGUAGGCGGCUAGAUAGGUCCGUUGUGAAAACCCGGGGCUCAACCCCGGGCCUGCAUUCGAUACGGGCAGACUAGAGUUCGGUAGGGGAGUCUGGAAUUCCUGGUGUAGCGGUGAAAUGCGCAGAUAUCAGGAGGAACACCGGUGGCGAAGGCGGGACUCUGGGCCGAUACUGACGCUGAGGAGCGAAAGCGUGGGGAGCAAACAGG
rnacentral:rRNA from 1 species